ACGUAGGGUGCGAGCGUUAAUCGGAAUUACUGGGCGUAAAGGGUGCGCAGGCGGUGUAUCAAGUCUGACGUGAAAGCCCCGGGCUUAACCUGGGAACGGCGUUGGAAACUGAUAGACUUGAGUGCGGCAGAGGGGGGUAGAAUUCCACGUGUAGCAGUGAAAUGCGUAGAGAUGUGGAGGAAUACCGAUGGCGAAGGCAGCCCCCUGGGUUGACACUGACGCUCAUGCACGAAAGCGUGGGUAGCAAACAGGAUUAGAUACCCUGGUAGUCCACGCCCUAAACGAUGUCAACUAGUUGUUGGGGAGGGAGACCUCCUUGGUAACGCAGCUAACGCGUGAAGUUGACCGCCUGGGGAGUACGGUCGCAAGAUUA
rnacentral:rRNA from 1 species